UACGGAGGGUGCAAGCGUUAUCCGGAAUCACUGGGUUUAAAGGGUACGUAGGCGGUUGUGUAAGUCAGACGUUAAAGGCUGUGGCUAAACCAUGGUACGCGUUUGAAACUGCAUAACUUGAAUAUGUUCGAGGUGCAUGGAAUGAGUCAUGUAGCGGUGAAAUGCAUAGAUAUGACUUAGAACACCAAUUGCGAAGGCAGUGCACUAGGGCAUCAUUGACGCUGAGGUACGAAAGCGUGGGUAGCGAACAGG
rnacentral:rRNA from 1 species